rnacentral:rRNA from 1 species
CCUACGGGCGGCAGCAGUGGGGAAUAUUGCACAAUGGGGGGAACCUUGAUGCAGCAACGCCGCGUGGGUGAAGAAGUACUCCGGUAUGUAAAGCCCUGUCAGCAGGGAAGAAAAUGACGGUACCUGACCAAGAAGCCCCGGCUAACUACGCGCCAGCAGCCGCGGUAAUAUGGAGGGGGCAAGCGUUAUCCGGAUGUACCGGGUGUAAAGGGAGCGUAGACGGGAAGGCAAGACUGGAGUGAAAGCCCGGGGCCCAACCACGGGACUGCUGUGGAAACUGUGUUGCUGGAGUGCAGGAGGGGUAAGCGGAAUUCCUGGUGUAGCGGUGAAAUGCGUAGAUAUUAGGAGGAACACCGGUGGCGAAGGCGGCUUACUGGACUGUAACUGACGCUGAGGCGCGAAAGCGUGGGGAGCAAACAGGAUUAGAUACCCUAGUAGUC